rnacentral:lncRNA from 1 species
UGCUGGGCCUCUUCUUUAUCUCCCCAUAUGAAAUGUUUCAUAACUGAUUAAACAUUUUAUAGUAGUUGAAUGUAUGAGAUACCGAAUGCAAAUGAGAGGUAAUAGCUAUUAUAUCAUAAUGUAUGAGAGGUAAUAUGUAUUUUGACUUUUUAGCCAAACUUGGAACAAGGUCUACGAGUGAUCUGUUGAUUAUGCUCAAUCCUUUCGGCUCCCGCUGAGCUUCGUUUAUUGCUUGCAACAUACAGUAUAGGUGUUGCUUAUCAUCGUGGUGG